rnacentral:rRNA from 1 species
CUGCGAGUGAAGCGGGAAAAGCUCAAAUUUAAAAUCUGGCAGUCUUUGAUUGUCCGAGUUGUAAUCUGGAGAAGCGUCUUCUGCGCUGGACCGUGUACAAGUCUCUUGGAACAGAGCGUCAUAGAGGGUGAGAAUCCCGUCUUUGACACGGACUACCAGUGCUUUGUGAAACGCUCUCAAAGAGUCGAGUUGUUUGGGAAUGCAGCUCAAAAUGGGUGGUAAAUUCCAUCUAAAGCUAAAUAUUGGCGAGAGACCGAUAGCGAACAAGUACCGUGAGGGAAAGAUGAAAAGCACUUUGGAAAGAGAGUUAAACAGUACGUGAAAUUGCUGAAAGGGAAACGCUUGAAGUCAGUCGCGUCUGCUAGUACUCAGCCUUCCUUCUGGUUGGUGCAUUUACUAGUUGACGGGCCAGCAUCAGUUUUGGUCGCGGGAUAAAGGUCAGAGGAAUGUGGCACCUUCGGGUGUGUUAUAGCCUCUGGUCAUAUACCGUGGCUGGGACUGAGGAUCUCAGCACGCCUUUAUGGCGGGGGUUCGCCCACCUUCGUGCUUAGGAUGCUGGCGUAAUGGCUUUAAACGACCCGUCUUGAAACACGGACCAAGGAGUCUAACAUGCCUGCGAGUGUUUGGGGUGGGAAAACCCGAGCGCGUAAUGAAAGUAAUAGUUGGGGAUCCCUGUCGUGGGGAGCACCGACGCCCGGACC